UACGUAGGGGGCAAGCGUUGUCCGGAAUCAUUGGGCGUAAAGCGCUCGUAGGCGGUUCGGCAAGUCUGCAAUGAAAGACCCGGGCUCAACUCGGGGAACGGUGUGGAUACUACCGAUCUUGAGGCAAUCAGAGGAUGAUGGAAUUCCCGGUGUAGCGGUGAAAUGCGUAGAGAUCGGGAGGAACACCAGUGGCGAAGGCGGCUACCUGGACCAGCAUUGACACUCAAGCGCGAAAGCGUGGGGAGCAAACAGG
rnacentral:rRNA from 1 species